rnacentral:rRNA from 1 species
UACGUAGGUGGCAAGCGUUAUCCGGAAUUAUUGGGCGUAAAGCGCGCGCAGGUGGUUUCUUAAGUCUGAUGUGAAAGCCCACGGCUCAACCGUGGAGGGUCAUUGGAAACUGGGAGACUUGGGUGCAGAAGAGGAAAGUGGAAUUCCAUGUGUAGCGGUGAAAUGCGUAGAGAUCGGGAGGAACACCAGUGGCGAAGGCGGCUUGCUGGGCCGGACCUGACGCUGAGACGCGAAGGCGUGGGGAGCGAACGGG